rnacentral:rRNA from 1 species
GGGUCAGUAGGUUGGUCGUGCCACCGGUACGUACUGGUCUCACUGAUUCCUCCUUCCUGAAGAACCGUAAUGCCAUUAAUUUGGUGUUGCGGGGAAACAGGACUGUUACUUUGAAAAAAUUAGAGUGUUUAAAGCAAGCUAACGCUUGAAUACAUUAGCAUGGAGUAAUGAAAUAGGACGAACGAUCCUAUUUUGUUGGUUUCUAGGAUUGACGUA